AUUGAACGCUGGCGGCAUGCCUUACACAUGCAAGUCGAACGGCAGCACGGGAGCAAUCCUGGUGGCGAGUGGCGAACGGGUGAGUAAUGUAUCGGAACGUACCUUUCAGUGGGGGAUAACGUAGCGAAAGUUAACGCUAAUACCGCAUAUUCUGUGAGCAGGAAAGCAGGGGAGUCGCAAGACCUUGCGCUGAUUGAGCGGCCGAUAUCAGAUUAGCUAGUUGGUGAGGUAAAGGCUCACCAAGGCGACGAUCUGUAGCGGGUCUGAGAGGAUGAUCCGCCACACUGGAACUGAGACACGGUCCAGACUCCUACGGGAGGCAGCAGUGGGGAAUUUUGGACAAUGGGCGCAAGCCUGAUCCAGCCAUGCCGCGUGAGUGAAGAAGGCCUC
rnacentral:rRNA from 1 species